rnacentral:rRNA from 1 species
UACGUAGGGUGCAAGCGUUGUCCGGAAUUAUUGGGCGUAAAGAGCUCGUAGGCGGUUUGUCGCGUCUGCUGUGAAAACUCGGGGCUUAACUCCGGGCCUGCAGUGGGUACGGGCAGACUAGAGUGCGGUAGGGGAGACUGGAAUUCCCGGUGUAGCGGUGAAAUGCGCAGAUAUCGGGAGGAACACCGGUGGCGAAGGCGGUUCUCUGGGCCUGACCUGACGCUGAGGAGCGAAAGCGUGGGGAGCGAACAGG